AGGGCAUCUUCUGGCUGCUUGGUGGGCCAGGUGUCAGUUUAGCGGCGUGUGAGUGAGUGUGCGCGUGCGGUGGUGCGGCGGGCCGGUGUACAACGUUCACCUGGGUGGGGAUUCAGACAGCCUGUUGGAGCAGUGUACACGAUCCGAGGUGUGUAUUAUUGGAGUGAAGGCUGCGUCCAGGUGAUCGCCCGGCCCCUUAAGCUCAAGGAAAAUACUUCACGACGAGGAUUAUACUUAAACCGACCCGAUAACUUACGACUUUAUCGAAUCGUUGAGCCGAGGCGAUAGUUGAGUGCGUUGGCAUCAACUUGGCUCCGAUCUGUAGGACGUCACCCUAAAGACUGUGUCCAAGCGGGUGGCUUCAACUGGCCGUGACCCCUGUGUCAUUACCUGAGGACACCGCCGCUGCCGGUGGAAGGGACGGCGGCAGCUACCACUGACCGGGUGCCACUCGACUCCUUUGAGUGUGGCAUCACAAGUGGUAGCGAGGCACGUGGUGGCCUCGGCAUCACCCACUCCUCGCCUCAGGUGACCCCAGCUGCAGUUGUUGACGGGCAGCAGCUGAGCGUUGUUCAAGAUGUCUGGACGAGUAGGCGAGGACAGUGACGCCCCUAAGGGUCCUCACGGGGGCGGGGCACCCACGAUCAACGGCUCCAUCGAGGCAACACUCACUCCGGAGCUCCUCUUCCGCAUGAACAAGAAGAUCGCACAGCUUACAAAGGGUGUCAAGUGUGUCAUGUAGUACCGGAUGGCGCCUGCAGUGUUGUUUGGACGCAGCGUAUAAGGCAAAGGCAGGCGGUGAUGCUCCUUGGCGGGUGAACUAAAGUGAGUGAGUGAUGAGGGAAAGCCACGCCAUCAAGAGGCACCAGGCGGGAUGUAAACACGCGGCAGCUCUUUGCGGGUCACAAUUUGGCACAAGAACUACUGCCGCGUGACACAUAAAAGCAUGAAAAGAAGCUUAUUUGUGUCAUAUGCACCUGGCAUCUCGUCCAUACACGCUCUUCACAAGUUUCCCUGCAAGAAGGAUAGCAGAGAUCCUGUGCUACUUCCACCAAUAUGGAAAGAAGCUUAGUCAUGCAGCAAACUAUAAAUUGUUUUAAACGAAUAAAAAUUUCCUUAAACAGCCACGCCUUGACCACUCUGACCUGAAAGU